rnacentral:rRNA from 1 species
GACGAACGCUGGCGGCGUGCCUAAUACAUGCAAGUCGAACGCACAGUUUAUACCGUAGCUUGCUACACCAUAGACUGUGAGUUGCGAACGGGUGAGUAACGCGUAGGUAACCUGCCUGGUAGCGGGGGAUAACUAUUGGAAACGAUAGCUAAUACCGCAUAAUAUUGAUUAUUGCAUGAUAAUUGAUUGAAAGAUGCUAUUGCAUCACUACCAGAUGGACCUGCGUUGUAUUAGCUAGUAGGUGAGGUAACGGCUCACCUAGGCGACGAUACAUAGCCGACCUGAGAGGGUGAUCGGCCACACUGGGACUGAGACACGGCCCAGACUCCUACGGGAGGCAGCAGUAGGGAAUCUUCGGCAAUGGACGAAAGUCUGACCGAGCAACGCCGCGUGAGUGAAGAAGGUUUUCGGAUCGUAAAGCUCUGUUGUAAGAGAAGAACGGGUGUGAGAGUGGAAAGUUCACACUGUGACGGUAUCUUACCAGAAAGGGAUGGCUAACUACGUG